rnacentral:lncRNA from 1 species
UUCUUUUUGUGUUCCGUAGAAGUCGGUAUUCCAUCUGUUUUGAGAAACUCUGCCAAAACAGAUGGAACACGACUUCUACGGAACAAAAGUGAACGAAUUUGCCUGAAGUAAUUGCUUUUUAUUAUUACCAUUAUUACUAUUAUCACCAUUGACUAUUAUCAUCGUGCACUUAGAUAAGGCAUUUAAUAAAUAAAGUACAGUAUGUAAAAUUAAUGCACAUACUAAACAAUAUAGGAAUAGAUGACAAAGAUAUUUGUGACAUUACGACACCGGUAACGACACCGACAAAAUCUCCAUACAACGAGGAGUCGGACAAGGUUGCAUUUUGUCCCCAACAUUGUUCAAUGUUUACUCGGACGAAUUAUUUAAAAAAGCAAUCGAGAAACAGCAGUAUGGAAUACAAAUCAAUGUGGAACUACUUAAUGUAAUUAGAUACGCGGACGAUAUAGUAAUUCUGUCAGAAAAUAUUGAAUGUCUCCAAAUUCUGCUUGAUCGUAUUCACGAGGUAGGAGAUGAAAUGGGCAUUUAAAUAAACUCAAGCAAAACCAAAUUUUUAAGUUUUAGUAGUAACUCACAUCCAGAUACAGAGCUUCAAUUAAAUGGAGUUCAAGUUGAAAAAGGUCACAAAAUGACAUAUUUGGGAAUUGUCAUAAUGGACCAACCAGAUCCAGACGUAGAAAUAAAACAGAAUAGCAAUCACUAAAACUACUUUUAUGAAACUGAAGUCAUUUCUUUGCAACAACCAUCUCAGUUUAGAAUUAAAACAAAGAAUGGUUAAGUGGUAUGUUUGGUCUGUACUUCUGUAUAGUGCAGAAGUUGGACACUAAAAGUAUCGACCAUGAACAGAACUAAAAUCAUUGGAAAUGUGGGUUCAUAGACGGGUGCUGGAAAUACCUUGGACCUAAAAACUAAUAAGGAGGUACUAAGGAGGGUCAACCAAGAUAGAGAACUGCUGAAGACUGUUAAACACUGGAAAAUAUCUCGUGUGGGAUAUAUCGUGAGGGGAAAUAUAUAUAGAAUACUACAACUAAUCCUUAAACCAAAA